AGUGAACGCUGGCGGCAGGCCUAACACAUGCAAGUCGAACGGCAGCACAGUAAGAGCUUGCUCUUACGGGUGGCGAGUGGCGGACGGGUGAGGAAUACAUCGGAAUCUACUUUUUCGUGGGGGAUAACGUAGGGAAACUUACGCUAAUACAGCAUACGACCUACGGGUGAAAGCAGUGGAACUUCGGACCUUGCGCGAUUGAAUUAGCCGAUGUCGGAUUAGCUAGUUGGCGGGGUAAUGGCCCACCAAGGCGACGAUCCGUAGCUUGUCUGAGAGGCUGAUCGGCCACACUGGAACUGAGACACGGUCCAGACUCCUACGGGAGGCAGCAGUGGGGAAUAUUGGGCAAUGGGCGCAAGCCUGAUCCAGCCAUCCCGCGUGGGUGAAGAAGGCCUUCGGGUUGUAAAGCCCUUUUUUUGGGAAAGAACAGCAGCAGGUUGAUACCCCGCUGUUCUGACGGUACCCAAAGAAUAAGCACCGGCUAACUACGUG
rnacentral:rRNA from 1 species